rnacentral:rRNA from 1 species
AAAGUGGAGCAAUCCAUUAGUAGAGUGGCGAACGGGUGAGUAACACGUGGGUGACCUACCUUCGAAUGGGGGAUAACGUCCCGAAAGGGACGCUAAUACCGCAUAACAUCCUGCUUUUGAACAGGUGGAGAUCAAAGCCGGGGAUCGCAAGACCUGGCGUUUGAAGAGGGGCCCGCGUCUGAUUAGCUAGUUGGUGAGGUAACGGCUCACCAAGGCGACGAUCAGUAUCCGGCCUGAGAGGGCGGACGGACACACUGGGACUGAGACACGGCCCAGACUCCUACGGGAGGCAGCAGUGGGGAAUUGUUCGCAAUGGGCGCAAGCCUGACGACGCAACGCCGCGUGGAGGAUGAAGGUCUUCGGAUUGUAAACUCCUGUUGCCCGGGACGAAAAGCCUCGACCUAACACGUUGAGGUCUGACGGUACCGGGUGAGGAAGCCCCGGCUAACUCUGUGCCAGCAGCCGCGGUAAUACAGAGGGGGCAAGCGUUGUUCGGAAUUACUGGGCGUAAAGGGCGCGUAGGCGGCCUUCUAAGUCGAACGUGAAAUCCCCGGGCUCAACCCGGGAACUGCGUCCGAUACUGGAAGGCUUGAAUUCGGGAGAGGGAUGCGGAAUUCCAGGUGUAGCGGUGAAAUGCGUAGAUAUCUGGAGGAACACCGGUGGCGAAGGCGGCAUCCUGGACCGGCAUUGACGCUGAGGCGCGAAAGCCAGGGGAGCAAACGGGAUUAGAUACCCCGGUAGUCCUGGCCCUAAACGAUGAAUGCUUGGUGUGGCGGGUAUCGAUCCCUGCCGUGCCGAAGCUAACGCAUUAAGCAUUCCGCCUGGGGAGUACGGUCGCAAGGCUGAAACUC